rnacentral:tRNA from 1 species
GGCAGGGGCCAAGGCUCUGUGGUAGAGCACCUGCUUGGCAUGCUGAAGAUCCCAGUUUCGAUCCCUGGCACCUCCAGUUA